CCUACGGGAGGGCAGCAGUGGGGGAAGUCUUGCGCAAUGGGGCGAAAGCCUGACGCAGCCAUGCCGCGUGAAUGAUGAAGGUCUUAGGAUUGUAAAAUUCUUUUCACCGGGGGACGAUAAUGACGGUACCCGGAGAAGAAGCCCCCGGCUAACUUCGUGCCAGCAGCCGCGGUAAUACGAAGGGGGCUAGCGUUGCUCGGAAUUACUGGGCGUAAAGGGAGCGUAGGCGGAUAGUUUAGUCAGAGGUGAAAGCCCAGGGCUCAACCUUGGAAUUGCCUUUGAUACUGGCUAUCUUGAGUAUGGGAGAGGUUAGCGGAACUCCGAGUGUAGAGGUGAAAUUCGUAGAUAUUCGGAAGAACACCAGUGGCGAAGGCGGCUAACUGGCCCAUUACUGACGCUGAGGCUCGAAAGCGUGGGGAGCGAAACAGGAUUUAGAUACCCUGGUAGUCCACGCCGUAAACGAUGAGUGCUAGUUGUCGGCAUGCAUGCAUGUCGGUGACGCGAGCGUAACGUACAUUAAGUACACUCCGCCGUCGGGGUAGGUACGGUCGGCCGAACGAAGUUAAAACGUUAACGAAAGGAAGUUAGGACGGACGUAGAGACGUGACCGACGGACGACGACGAGGGAGGAGG
rnacentral:rRNA from 1 species